UGGGUAGUUUUUAAAGAACACCAUGUGGGUAGUUUUCAAAGAACACCAUGUGGGUAAUUUUUAAAGAAAUCCUUAUGGGUAGUUUUUAAAGAACACCAUGUGGGUAGUUUUAAAGAACACCAUGUGGGUAGUUUUUAAAGAACACCAUGUGGGUAUUUUUAAAGAACACCAUGUGGGUAGUUUUAAAGAACACCAUGUGGGUAGUUUUUAAAGAACACCAUGUGGGUAGUUUUAAAGAACACCAUGUGGGUAAUUUUUAAAGAAAUCCUUAUGGGUAGUUUUUAAAGAACACCAUGUGGGUAGUUUUAAAGAAUGUCCUUUUAAGAAGCUGCUGGUCCUCGUAGUUUGAGUCAGCAUGAAUGUGAAUCGUUCUGCAAACCAAAGUCAUUGGCCAUGAAUCAAACUCAACGUUCUUUUAUUUAUGAACUAGGCUUCCUCGUCCACACAUUUGUUCGUCCUUUUUAUUGAAACUUUAUUCUUGUAGCGCGUCUCCUUUUGCCUUCUUUUCACUUGAUCGUGGAGCUGGCUGGAAAAGAAAAGAAUUCCAACCAUUUUAAAAACUGCACAGUGAUUCUACUUUUUAAUGAUGUAAGUUCUUAAUGACUCAAAACAAAAAUCCUCAUCUUUGAUUAUUGUUUGUUUGUUUUUGUGUUCAAACUCAUUUCACUUCAUGUAUUAUCAAAUAAUGAUGUACAGCACAAGCAAGUUGGGAUAAAAAAAACAUGUACUUUUGUGCUUUUAAAUAGUUUAUUGUGACAUUUGUGGUACUUGAAUCUUGUGUAUAUUCUCUGUACCUUGUACUCAUCUUUUUAUAUUGUUGCAUGUACUGUACAUUAGUAGUUGUACUAUUAUUAUUACACAAACUGCUGAGUCCAA